rnacentral:misc_RNA from 1 species
GCCUUCUGCUUUGUUGAAAGAAAACGUUAAGGACAUCUUGCUAGGGUCAUAAGAAUAGCUAGGUUGCGUCACUGGGGGAUUUUCUACCACAUCACCAAUGUACAUUAAUCGGAUCAAUAUAUAUUUUAGCUUGUAGCAAGGCUUGGCACAUGAAGUUUCAAGAUAUGCAUCAAAUGUGGCCUUAUUCCAUUCAGAUUCAUACAACCAAUCAUCACUUACCAGUUGAGUUUCAGAUGUGAAGUAGGAAGAUCCAUACUCAAACGGCAAAUGUCUAAGCUGUAUUGAUACUCGUUUGCUUUCACCACAAGCACUAUUGAAUUGGCAUUC